rnacentral:misc_RNA from 1 species
UCGAGUCUUACGAACUCCCAAACCUAUGUGAACAUACCUUUUGUUGCUUCGGCGGUUCCGUCCCGGGCGCCCCGCAUCUCGCGCGGUGUCCCGGAGCCAGACGGCCGCCGGAGGACCUAAACACUCUGUUUCCCAAAGCGGUAUCUAUCUGAGUGGCGAAAGCAAACAAAUAAAUCA